rnacentral:rRNA from 1 species
CGGACGACGCUGGCGGCGUGGAUUAGGCAUGCAAGUCGGACGGUAGAGCUUUAUCGUAAGAUAGAGUUUGAGAGUGGCGAACGGGUGAGUAACACGUAGGAAUCUACCCUUAAGACGGGGACAACCCAGGGAAACUUGGGCUAAUACCGGAUGAGAGUGCGAGAGAUUGCAUUUAAAAGGAUGGCGAAAGUUGUCGCUUAGGGAUGAGCCUGCGGUCUAUUAGUUAGUUGGUGAGGUAAGAGCUCACCAAGGCGAUGAUAGAUAGGCGGCCUUAACGGGUGGUCGCCCACACUGGGAUUGAGAUACGGCCCAGACUCCUACGAGAGGCAGCAGUGGGGAAUUUUGGACAAUGGGCGCAAGCCUGACCCAGCCAUGCCGCGUGAAGGAAGACGGCCUUAUGGGUUGUAAACUUCUUUACUACGCGAAUAGAGGUUAGUACGAGAUACUAAUAGGAAGGUAGUGUAGUAAAAAGCACCGGCUAACUCCGUG